GGGGGUUUGGAAAAUCAGGACAAACUCGGACAUAGGGGGGGAGGGGGUGUUUUUAGCAAUCCGGAUGUCCGAAAUUUAAAAAAAAUCAAAAACAAAUUUCUUUUUCCCUCUAUUUUGAGCAGUCCUUCCCAUUGUGAAAUUGGCAUUUUGACUAUGCGGUUAACACUAGAUUUUGUUUUAAUUAGUAAUUUAUAUGUUUUUGUGUUCACAUUUACAGUUAUAAAAAAGUUCUAAAAGUAAAAAAAGUUUUUUACUCUUGAUAUAUACAAGGUUGCGUGAGUUUUUGCGAGGCAUGGCGGAUGUCCGGGGGGAGGGGGGGUCACUAAUUCGGACAAUGCCGGACAAGGAAGGGAGGGGGGGGUCGGAAAAUCCAUCAUUUGGCUGGA